UAUGUAAAAGAUAAUAGAUAUAAUUAAUACGAAAAUAAGUGAAAAUACGGAAAAAAACUGCUGGAAAUUAUAAAUGGUCUUCAUAGCUGGAUUCAUAGAUGGUCUUGAAAUGAACCAAUCUUUUGAUUUUUAUAAAAAGAAUUUAUAUGAUUCUAAUGUAUUCUAUCUAUUGUGAAGAAUAUUAUAAGCAAUAAAAGUAAUUACACCCAGCUACUUGGUCAGUAGUACUGGAAAGGUAUUUUACUAUAUUGCGAAGAUUACCAGACUUCAUCGAGUAGAUGUUGUUGCAUAUGAAGACCAACACACUAACGCCAACUCAUUUAAGUAGAGUAAAUGAGAAUAAAAGAUAAUAAAUGAAAACAAAUAAAAAUGUAUAAGAAGAAUAAAGAAAUUAUAAUUAUUCUACGA